rnacentral:rRNA from 1 species
UCCCGAGUGCCAUCCGCUGAGGAAGGCUUUUACCCAGUCUAGAACGCUGGGGGAAUAAGGAGAGGGCAAGUCUGGUGUCAGCCGCCGCGGUAAUACCAGCUCUCCGAGUGGUGUGGAUGUUUAUUGGGCCUAAAGCAUCCGUAGCUGGCUAAGUUAGUCCCCUGUUAAAUCCACCGAAUUAAUCGUUGGAUUGCGGGGGAUACUGCUUGGCUAGGGGACGAGAGAGGCAGACGGUAUUUUCGGGGUAGGGGUGAAAUCCUAUAAUCCCGGGAAGACCACCAGUGGCGAAGGCUGUCUGCUAGAACGCGCCCGACGGUGAGGGAUGAAAGCUGGGGGAGCGAACCGGAUUAGAUACCCGGGUAGUCCCAGCUGUAAACGAUGCAGACUAGGUGUUUGGACGGCCACGUGCCGUUCUAGUGCCGCAGGGAAGCUGUUAAGUCUGCCGCCUGGGGAGUACGAUCGCAAGAUUGAAACUUAAAGGAAUUGGCGGGGGAGCACCACAAGGGGUGAAGCUUGCGGUUUAAUUGGAGUCAACGCCGGAAAUCUCACCGGGAGCGACAGCAGAGUGA